rnacentral:rRNA from 1 species
ACAUGUCUGUUUGAAGGUAUAAGGAGUCUGAUCUGCCCACUGAAAUAUUUAAGGGCCGCGGUAAUCUGACCGUGCAAAGGUAGCAUAAUCGUUAGUUUUUUAAUUGGAAUCUUGUAUGAAUGAUUGGACAAGGGGGGUACUGUCUCUGUGUUUUUUUGAAUUUAACUUUUAAGUGAAAAGGCUUAAAUGAUUUAAAAAGACGAUAAGACCCUAUAAAGCUUAAUAAGUUAAAUUAGUUGACUGAAUAAAUAAAUAAUAGUUAAUUAAUUAAUCAUAUUUUGUUGGGGCGACAAUGGUAAAAUGUUUCAACUACUAAAUUUAUGACAGAUAUUAAUGAAUACAGUAUAAAUGAUCCUAGGAUAAGAUUUAAAGAUGAAGUUACUUUAGGGAUAACAGCGUUAUUUUUUUUGAGAGUUCUUAUCGAAAAAAAAGUUUGCGACCUCGAUGUUGAAUUAAAAUGUCUAUUCAAUUGCAGAAGUUGAAAUAGUAGGUCUGUUCGACCUUUAAAAUUUUACGUGAUC